UGACUAGAGACACAUUCAGCU
ensembl:miRNA mir-44 ncRNA